GUUCGACAUUGAUCGGAACUCUUUCUCCCUCGGGAUCCCUGUGUCUGAAAAGAGGUCCUGCAAGGUAAGUAAAGUAACUGCCACACUCAGUUAGGGAAAUCACUGCAGAAUCUGGACAUGGGACAUUUAUGGUUAAGGUGAGGGUUACAAUUAGUGGUCCACACCUUUGUAUAGGUUUGUAUGUGACCCAAGGCAUCAUAAGAAGGUAGAUCUGGGUUCCUCCAUCCUGAUGAACCAUAAUCACAAAAGGGUAUUUAGCAGUAAUUAGAUGGCUAAUUGUGAUUUAUUUAUUUAUUUAUUUGCAAGUAAAGGUCACAGUAGUUGUGUAGUGGAGUACAAGGGGACCUCUUGAAAUGGAGGAGGGGAAACCUUUUGAGAAUGUGAUUCAUUUAAAAAAAAAAAAGGCAAUAUCCAUUGGGAAUCUUACAAUAAAUGAGAAAAGGUGCCUAAGACUGAUUGAAUGAAGACACAUUUUAACUAUAGCAACUAAAGGCUUUAUUUUAGUUUGAUUUGAAUUAUAUGUUUAGUUUGUCUUACAGUUUACAGGUGGUAUUUCUUUUCUUUUCUUGUACGUUCCAUAGUUUUUUUUAUAAAGAAGCUGAAAGACCAAAAUGGCUUCAAGUGUUUCCUACAAAACAAGUGGAAUUCAUUCUUUUGGGAGAAUUCAUCAUGCAAAUGAGUAUUCUGUGGAUGCCCAUAGUAUAAUAAGCAUCUAGCAGAAUAAUUCAUUUUCUUUUUCUUUCUUUCAAAACAUAUCACUGAAC